AUAUAUUUAAGAAAAAGAUGUUGCAAAAUGUAAAUAAGAACAAUUCUAAAAUAAAGUAAGUUUUCGAAAUUAAAAAGUAGCAAAUAGAUAAUUCAUGCAUGCUUUAUUAAAAAUAAUAAAGAAAUACAUUUUUUUUUCUUUUGUAAUAUAUAUGUAUGAGAUUAUUUUUGUUAGACAUAGAAAUACAUAUAUCACAGAGUUUUUUUCAUAUAUAAUCUCAUAUAUAUUAUAUAUGCCAUUUACAAUGUGCUAAGAUAAAUCAGAAGUAAUCUCUUUAUAGUACAUUUGUUAAAUAUUUAAUUUAUUACAAAGAAUUCUCAUAUCCGUACGCGAAAAAUUACAUCUUAAUCAAGAUUUAUCUUGCAUGCAGUUUUCACACAAUACGUGAAUGCAUUAAAAUUUCUGUGAAAUUAAUUUCGCAUUUUACUAGUCAAUUAAUAUUCGUAAAUAUAAUAUUCGCAAAA